rnacentral:rRNA from 1 species
AUUGAACGCUGGCGGCAGGCCUAACACAUGCAAGUCGAGCGGAUGAAGGGAGCUUGCUCCUGGCUUCAGUGGCGGACGGGCGAGUAAUGACUAGGAAUCUAACUGGUCGUGAAGACUAGCGUCAGGUCACGGGAGCUGAUCCAAUAUCCGUCCAGAGGUAGAAAGUGAUGGUUCUUCAGUCCUAACGCUAUCUGCUGAGCCUUGGUCGUAUUAGCUAGUUGGUGGGGUAAAGGCCUACCAAGGCGACGAUCCGUAACUGGUCUGAGAGGAUGAUCAGCCACACUGGAACUGAGACACGGUCCAGACUCCUACGGGAGGCAGCAGUGGGGAAUAUUGGACAAUGGGCGAAAGCCUGAUCCAGCCAUGCCGCGUGUGUGAAGAAGGUCUUCGGAUUGUAAAGCACUGUUAUUAGGGAGGAAGGGAAGUAAGUGAAUAUCUUGAUGUUUUGACGGUACCAACAGAGUAAGCACCGGCUAACUUCGUG